rnacentral:rRNA from 1 species
GAUGAACGCUAGCGGCAGGCUUAAUACAUGCAAGUCGUACGGGAUCCGAGGUAGCAAUACUUUGGUGAGAGUGGCGCACGGGUGCGUAACACGUAUGCAACCUACCUUUAACCGGGACACAACCCACCGAAAGGUGAGCUAAUAUCCCAUAACACUGCGAAGUGGCAUCACUUUGCAGUCAAAACUCCGGUGGUUAUUGAUGGGCAUGCGCGACAUUAGCUAGUUGGUGAGGUAACGGCCCACCAAGGCUACGAUGUCUAGGGGGUCUGAGAGGUUGAUCCCCCACACUGGGACUGAGACACGGACCAGACUCCUACGGGAGGCAGCAGUAAGGAAUAUUGGUCAAUGGGCGCAAGCCUGAACCAGCCAUGCCGCGUGAAGGAUGACGGCCCUAUGGGUUGUAAACUUCUUUUGUACGGGAAAAAACCACCGGUCGUGUAUCGGUGCUGAUGGUACCGUAAGAAUAAGCAUCGGCUAACUCCGUGCCAGCCGCCGCCGUAACAC